GCGUGCGGGAAGAAGGCCUUCGGGUUGUAAACCGCUUUUGGCAGGAACGAAACGGCGAUUCCUAAUACGGGUCGUUAAUGACGGUACCUGCAGAAUAAGCACCGGCUAACUACGUGCCAGCAGCCGCGGUAAUACGUAGGGUGCAAGCGUUAAUCGGAAUUACUGGGCGUAAAGCGUACGCAGGCGGCUUUGCAAGACAGGUGUGAAAUCCCCGGGCCUAACCUGGGAACUGCAUUUGUGACUGCAUGGCUAGAGUCUGUCAGAGGGGGGUGGAAUUCCACGUGUAGCAGUGAAAUGCGU
rnacentral:rRNA from 1 species